rnacentral:lncRNA from 1 species
UAGCUGAUGAUCAUAGAUUUGAAGGUUUCUUGAGCCACACAUGCAUCCGACCUCCACAGAUAUUCAUACGAGACUCUAAUUUGAUCAGAGAUAUGGUGAUCUCAUCGGGUUGCUAGCUUCCUUGCAGAGAUCUUCUCUUGAUGGUUGAUCUGGCUCCUUUAAAUCUCUUGGACUCUUCCAGGAGAAGGACUUGGAGGGAGAGGAGGUAGAGGAAGACUCUCGAGAACACUUUCUCUCUUCCAAAACCCACGCCU